UCCAAUGGCCAGCAAAGGUUAAUGAUGGUGUGCCUGUAAUGUGUUUUUAACAGGGGUACAGACACUGCAGUGUGGACAGCGACGGUGACAGCAGACAGUUCCCACUAGUUUGGUUUUGGCAGUAAAACUCUGAACAUUAACUUGCUAAGA
rnacentral:lncRNA from 12 species